GACAGAGGAUGCAAGCGUUAUCCGGAAUGAUUGGGCGUAAAGCGUCUGUAGGUGGCUUUUAAGUCUGCCGUCAAAUCCCAGGGCUUAACCCUGGACAGGCGGUGGAAACUACCAAGCUGGAGUACGGUAGGGGCAGAGGGAAUUUCCGGUGGAGCGGUGAAAUGCGCAGAUAUCAGGAGGAACACCAAUGGCGAAGGCAGCUCGCUGGGACGGUACUGACGCUGAGGCGCGAAAGCGUGGGGAGCAAACAGG
rnacentral:rRNA from 1 species